rnacentral:lncRNA from 1 species
CCUCUACUCAAUAUUCCCUGCCAGAGCGCCGUUGCGAGAUAGUCCCGAAUUCCAGAGUUUGGUGAGCAAAAUCGACGUGGACCCGGGACUAACAGGACGGCCUUCAACCAGGCUUGCUUCCAGAUUGUCGCCAUUCCAUGCACUCUGGCCUUCUCAAUCAUCGGUGGCGUUAUAACAGGUACAAUAAUAAACCUUUCAUCACCAGCCACCGGAUCUGUACCUGAGGACUCUUUCUUUGAGGAUGCUCUGCACUGGGAAAUCCCCAAUGAAAGUGAUGAGUCGACAGAAAAAAAUGUGCCCGAAAAAACGGAGUCGACUAUAAUAAAAGUUCACGAGCCUUCUGAUACCAAAGUGGUUGAGGAAAAGUGCUAAACUAAAUAUUAAUAACCUUAAACUUCAGUGUGGUCACAAAGAAAAAACAGUUUCGGUGGGAAUUUGAAUAGAUAUCACCACUUCCAUGGAAUCUGUAGGGGUUGCCUCAGUGAUCUAUAUGGUACAUAUAUACUGCUAAUGUACUUUAAAACAUGUCCCUCAAGGGGACAAAAUGAAGGAUUAAAUGUUUAUUACGAAGGAUGUGUUCUUAUAAAAAUAUGUUCAACGAG